AAGUCGUAACAAGGUUUCCGUAGGUGAACCUGCGGAAGGAUCAUUAAAGAGUUUAGGGUCCUAGUGGGCCCAACCUCCAACCCCGUCAUGUUGUUAAAAACUACCUUGUUGCCUUGGCGGGACCGUUCGGUCUCCGAGCGCGUUAACCUUCGGGGUUGGCGAACGCCCGCCAGGGUCCAACCAAAACUCUUGUAUUAAACCAGUCGUCUGAGUAUAAAAUUUUAAUUAAAUUAAAA
rnacentral:misc_RNA from 1 species